rnacentral:rRNA from 1 species
UACGUAGGGGGCAAGCGUUGUCCGGAUUUAUUGGGCGUAAAGAGCGUGUAGGCGGCUGGGUAGGUCCGUUGUGAAAACUCGAGGCUCAACCUCGAGACGCCGAUGGAAACCCCCCAGCUAGAGUCCGGAAGAGGAGAGUGGAAUUCCUGGUGUAGCGGUGAAAUGCGCAGAUAUCAGGAAGAACACCAGUGGCGAAGGCGGCUCACUGGCCCGGUACUGACGCUGAGGUGCGAAAGCGUGGGGAGCAAACAGG